CCAGGUAUGCACAUGUUCAGAGCCUUGGCGGUGAAGAAAGACGGCAUGUCAAACAAGUAGAAGUAGUUGCGAUCGAUUAAAUCAGAGAGCAACUGGCCUGCAAGCCUGUGAAGGGUUGCCAUAAUCGGAAGAAGUUUGGCAUAUUCGGAAGAGAGAGAUUCCACUUCCUGUAACUGGGACCAUUAAUCAGUUUGGUCUUUACUAGCGGCUUGUGGUCAUAGAACCAGGUGUGCACAGCAGAAUCUUCUUCCUCGUCGAGCUCCAACUGAAUUGGCUCAAGAGGAUCA
rnacentral:lncRNA from 1 species